UACGGGGGGGGCAAGCGUUGUUCGGAAUUACUGGGCGUAAAGGGCUCGUAGGUUGCCAACUAAGUCGGACGUGAAAUCCCUCAGCUUAACUGGGGAACUGCGUCCGAUACUGGAUGGCUUGAGUUUGGGAGAGGGAUGCGGAAUUCCAGGUGUAGCGGUGAAAUGCGUAGAUAUCUGGAGGAACACCGGUGGCGAAGGCGGCAUCCUGGACCAACACUGACGCUGAGGAGCGAAAGCCAGGGGAGCAAACGGG
rnacentral:rRNA from 1 species